rnacentral:lncRNA from 1 species
CUCUUCCUCCUUCUCCUUCUUACUUCUCUUCCUCUUCUUUCUUCUCCUCUUCCUCCUUUCUCCUUCUCCUCUUUCUCCUCCUCUUCCUCCUUCUCCUCCUCUUCCUCCUUUCUCCUCCUCUUCCUCCUCUUCCUCUUCUUCCUCCUCCUCCCCCGUUUCUAUGCCAAGCUGUUCCCAGCAGGUGGAUUAUGACAUUGGCAGCGCCCCUUCUUACAGGAGUGAUGACCAGAUACCUGCUAAUGAAGUGUUCAUCACUAAUGCCAGGUCUCACGGUAAUCAGGAAAAGGCAAAAUUUAAUGACGAGAAAGGACCUCCUCUUCCUCCUUCUCCUCCUCUUCCUCCUUCUCGUCCUUCUCCUCCUCCUUCUCCUCUUCUUCCUCCUCCUCCUUCUCCUCCUCUUCCUCCUUCUUCUUCUCCUUCUUUCUCCUCCUCAUUCUCCUUCUCCUCUUCCUCCUCCUUCUCCUCCUCCUUCUUCUUCUCUUCUUCCUCUUUCUCCUUCUCCUUCUCCUGCUCUUCCUCCUUUCUCCUCCCUCUCCUCUUCCUCCUCUUCUUCCUCCUCCUCCUCCUCCUCCUUCUUCUCCUUCUCCUUUCUCCUUCUCCUUCUCCUCCUCUUCUUCCUCCUUCUCCUCCUCUUCCUACUUCUCCUCCUCUUCCUCCUCGUUCUCCUUCUCCUCUUCCUCCUUCUCCUUCUCCUCUUCCUCCUCUUCUUCCUCCUUCUCCUUCUUUCUCCUCUUCCUCCUUCCCCUCUUCCUCCUCCUCUUCCUCUUCAUCCUCCUCCUUCUCUUCCUCCUCCUCCUCCUCUUCCUCCUUUCUCCUCCUCCUCCUUCUUCUCUUCUUCCUCUUUCUCCUUCUCCUUCUCCUUCUUUCUCCUCUUUCUCCUCCUCUUCCUCCUUUCUCCUUCUCCUCCUCUUUUUCCUCCUCCUUCUCCUUCUCCUCUUCCUCCUUCUCAUCCUUCUCCACCUCCUCCACCUCUUUCUCCUCCUCUUCCUCCCUCUCCUUUUCCUCCUCCUCCUCCUCUUCUUCCUCCUCCUCCUCCUCUUCCUCCUCUUCUUCCUCCUUCUCCUUCUCCUCCUCCUCCUCCUUUUCCUCUUCCUCCUCCUUUCUCCUUCUCCUUCUCCUCUUCUUCCUCCAUCUUCUCCUCCUCCUCUUCCUUCUCCUCGUUCUCCUCGUUCUCCUUCUCCUGCUCUUCCUCCUUCUCCUCCUCUUUCUCCUUCUCCUCCUCUUCCUCCUCUUUCUCCUCCUCCUCCUCUUCAUCCUCCUCCUUCUCUUCUUCCUCCUUCUCCUCCUCUUCCUCCUCCUCCUUGUUCUCCUUCUCCUCCUCCUCCUCUUCUUCCUCCUUCUCCUUCUCCUUCUUACUCCUCUUCCUCCCUCUCCUCUUCCUCCACUUCUUCCUCCUCUUCCUCUUCCUCCUCCUUCUCCUCCUCAUUCUCCUUCUCCUCCUCUUCCUUCUUCUCCUCUUCUUCCUCCUUCUCCUUCUUCUUCUCCUUCUCCUCCUCUUCCUCCUCCUCUUCUUCCUCCUUAUCCUCCGUCUCCUUUUCCUCCUUCUCCUCCUCCUCUUCCUCCUCUUCCUCCUUCUCUUCUUCCUCCUCCUUCUCCUCGUUCUCCUUCACCUCCUCCUCCUCUUCUCCUUCUCCUUCUCUUCCUUCUCC